GCCCCCGUAGUGUAGCCAGGACAACAUUCCGGGCUUCGGUCCUGGAGAUCGGGGGUUCGAAUCCCCUCGGGGGCG
rfam:Candidatus Nanopusillus sp. Nst1 Nst1_C3, whole genome shotgun sequence.